CGGAAUCACUGGGCGUAAAGGGUGCGUAGGCGGGUUUUUAAGUCAGAGGUGAAAUCCUGGAGCUCAACUCCAGAACUGCCUUUGAUACUGAGAAUCUUGAGUUCGGGAGAGGUGAGUGGAACUGCGAGUGUAGAGGUGAAAUUCGUAGAUAUUCGCAAGAACACCAGUGGCGAAGGCGGCUCACUGGCCCGAUACUGACGCUGAGGCACGAAAGCGUGGGGAGCAAACAGG
rnacentral:rRNA from 1 species